rnacentral:tRNA from 1 species
GGGUUGAUAGCUUAAAGAGAGUGUUGAACUUUUGAUUCAAAGGUAGGGAGUAAAAUGCCCUUCAGCCUU